rnacentral:rRNA from 1 species
GAUGAACGCUGGCGGCGUGCCUAAUACAUGCAAGUCGAGCGAACAGACGAGGAGCUUGCUCCUCUGACGUUAGCGGCGGACGGGUGAGUAACACGUGGAUAACCUACCUAUAAGACUGGGAUAACUUCGGGAAACCGGAGCUAAUACCGGAUAAUAUAUUGAACCGCAUGGUUCAAUAGUGAAAGACGGUUUUGCUGUCACUUAUAGAUGGAUCCGCGCCGCAUUAGCUAGUUGGUAAGGUAACGGCUUACCAAGGCAACGAUGCGUAGCCGACCUGAGAGGGUGAUCGGCCACACUGGAACUGAGACACGGUCCAGACUCCUACGGGAGGCAGCAGUAGGGAAUCGGCCGCAAUGGGCGAAAGCCUGACGGAGCAACGCCGCGUGAGUGAUGAAGGUCUUCGGAUCGUAAAACUCUGUUAUUAGGGAAGAACAAAUGUGUAAGUAACUAUGCACGUCUUGACGGUACCUAAUCAGAAAGCCACGGCUAACUACGUG